GAUGAACGCUGGCGGCGUGCUUAACACAUGCAAGUCGAACGAUUAACCCACCUUCGGGUGGUUAUAGAGUGGCGAACGGGUGAGUAACACGUGACCAACCUACCCCUUACAUUGGGAUAACUCAGAGAAAUCUGUGCUAAUACCAAAUACUCCGGAUAAAUCGCAUGGUUUUUCCGGGAAAGCUUUUGCGGUAAGGGAUGAGCCCGCGUUGGAUUAGCUAGUUGGUGGGGUAAAGGCCUACCAAGGCGACGAUCCAUAGCUGGUCUGAGAGGAUGAUCAGCCACAUUGGGACUGAGACACGGCCCAAACUCCUACGGGAGGCAGCAGUGGGGAAUAUUGGACAAUGGGCGCAAGCCUGAUCCAGCCAUGCCGCGUGAGUGAUGAAGGCCCUAGGGUUGUAAAGCUCUUUCACCGGGGAAGAUAAUGACGGUACCCGGAGAAGAAGCCCCGGCUAACUUCGUGCCAGCAGCCGCGGUAAUGUGAG
rnacentral:rRNA from 1 species